rnacentral:rRNA from 1 species
CAAUAGCGUAUAUUAAAGUUGUUGCAGUUAAAAAGCUCGUAGUUGGAUUUCUGAUCGAGACAUCAGGUCGGGUCCGAGAGGAUCAUGUACUUUGAUUUUGUUUUGAUCAUCCUUGGGGAGAGCAUUUCUGGCAUUCAGUUGUCGGGAUUGGGAUCCUCAUCGUUUACUGUGAAAAAAUUAGAGUGUUCAAAGCAGGCCUCGGCCUCUGAAUACAUUAGCAUGGAAUAAUAAGAUAGGACUUUGGUGGUCUAUUUUGUUGGUUUGCACGCCAAAGUAAUGAUUAAUAGGGAUAGUUGGGGGUAUUCGUAUUCAAUUGUCAGAGGUGAAAUUCUUGGGUUUAUGGAAGACGAACUACUGCGAAAGCAUUUACCAAGGAUGUUUUCAUUAA